GGUUAAGCGACUAAGCGUACACGGUGGAUGCCCUGGCAGUCAGAGGCGAUGAAGGGCGUGCUAAUCUGCGAUAAGCGCCGGUAAGGUGAUAUGAACCGUUAUAACCGGCGAUAUCCGAAUGGGGAAACCCAGUGUGACUCGUCACACUAUCAUUAACUGAAUCCAUAGGUUAAUGAGGCGAACCGGGGGAACUGAAACAUCUAAGUACCCCGAGGAAAAGAAAUCAACCGAGAUUCCCCCAGUAGCGGCGAGCGAACGGGGAGGAGCCCAGAGCCUGAAUCAGCAUGUGUGUUAGUGGAAGCGUCUGGAAAGGCGCGCGAUACAGGGUGACAGCCCCGUACACAAAAGCGCAUGUGCUGUGAGCUCGAUGAGUAGGGCGGGACACGUGGUAUCCUGUCUGAAUAUGGGGGGACCAUCCUCCAAGGCUAAAUACUCCUGACUGACCGAUAGUGAACCAGUACCGUGAGGGAAAGGCGAAAAGAACCCCGGCGAGGGGAGUGAAAAAGAACCUGAAACCGUGUACGUACAAGCAGUGGGAGCACAGGUUUACCUGUGUGACUGCGUACCUUUUGUAUAAUGGGUCAGCGACUUAUAUUCUGUAGCAAGGUUAACCGUAUAGGGGAGCCGGAGGGAAACCGAGUCUUAACCGGGCGUUAAGUUGCAGGGUAUAGACCCGAAACC
rnacentral:rRNA from 1 species